AACUACCAACUACAGAAAGCCAAUUUGAAUCCACCACUCCAGUAUUUUACAAACAUCAUUUUCUAUACAAAUGAGCAAUAAUGGGAAAAGUCUUGUUCAAACAUGAGCCACCCUUACAGGGAUGCACUGGAUAUCAUUUGCUUUGCAGUGUUAAUGUUCUUCAAUGCUAGUGUGUACUAUAAUCAAAGGACACACCAUUCUAGUGAUCUAAAAAUAUUACUCAAGUUUUUAGGGUUAGAAAUUAAAAUCAAGGUUGGUAAUUCAAGUAGCUCAUUCCUGUAAGCCCAGCUCUUGAGAGGCAGAGACUAGGAGGUCCCUCUAUGUUUAAGGUUAACCGGGGCUACAUAUGGAGACCCUGUCUCAAGAUAAAAAAAAAAAAAAAAUCCAAAAGCCCUUUUAAUGGAAAAACUAAAGCAUGCAACUUUGAAGUUGCAAUCCUAACAAAGACAAAUCAGGGGUAUGACGAAAUUCUCUUUUCACCUCAUUCUUCAAACCAUGCACUGAAGUUGGGUUCUUUACAUCAAGUAAGUCACAAUUAGUGUGGCAAAGAAUUGCUCCUGCAAUUCACCCGAGUAUAUAGCCAAGGGGUCCUUUAAAGAUCAUACCUACACAAGUGGCUGCAGACAGUGUAUAUUCCCUGACCAAAAUAACUUAAACCUAAGAUUUUGAACCUUCGGUAUUUUAGGUGCAUCUCAGGCAGCCUGAAGACAGGCAACAGGAUUUCAACAACAACAAAAAAAAAUUGCCACCUUACUCUGAACCAAUGUGCUGGGUUGACCCACAAAGGCCGCAAGAUGCUGUCUUAAUUUGAAUAGCCCUGACUUGUAGGAGUUAAAACUCUCACCCCUUAUGCUGCGAUGACGUAAUCUUCCACACUGAAUUUCUCCCAGAGUUAAAGGGGUGGAAAGAGGAAUUUACAAAAUAGUAAUAAUAACCGACAAAGAAAAUUUCCUGCUAGGAACGAGGAACUGAGAAUGCCAUAGGGCCUGCAAGAUGGCUCAGUGGGUAAAGCACUUGCUGCACAAGCCUGAGGACGUGAGUUCAAAUCCCAGAACCUGAAGAAAGGUGGAUGGCGAGAACAGACCCCCAUGAGUCCUCCUCCUCCACAGGUCUGUCCAGGCUGGGUCUGUCUCCUGUGGGAUCCCAGCGGCAAGCCGAUGCCUUGAACAUGAACCAUGGGAUGAGCAGGAGGAGCCUUGAAACUUUGAAUGUACCCUACCUGUCCCCGGUGUCUUUGAAGAAUGGAAAGCAGGAAGACCCAGUCCUUGCAUACAGGAGACUGCCCUGUGGUCUGUGUUCCUGGGAUUUACCUGAGUGAACCCUCAUGGAACACGUUCCCAUGAUUCAUGAGAAAAGUACAAGAAGAAACAACAUAGCCGGGCUGAAGAGAUGGCUCAGUGGUUAAGAGUACUGACUUCUCUUCCAGAGGUCCUGAGUUCAAUUCUCAGCAACUACAUGGUGGCUCACAACCAUCUGUAAUGAGAUCUGAUGCCCUCUUCUGCUGUGUCUGAAGACAGCUACAGUGUACUCAUAUACAUUAAAUAAAUAAAUAAAUCUGAAAGAGAGAGAGAGAGGGAGAACAUAGCCAUUGUCAUAAAAUCCCAGCUCCUGGUAUCAUCUGAGGGGCUCCCAUCUGGAAUGGGAGAUGCUCAAGGCUUGAGGAUUAGGGUGUAUACAUUUGCUUCAUGAUCAUCCAUCAUUUUUGCAUAUCUGUUUUAUAAGUUGGUUUUUCUCACAAAUAAUGUUUUAUAGAUUUUAUUUCAUGAAGAUUAUGUUAAAAUAAAAUAUCUUUUAGCCAAGCACAGUGGCAGACACCUCUAAUCCUACACAUGGGAGGCAGGGGGAUUUCCACAAGUGCUAGGCCAGCCUGCGCUGGCCUUUUUAAAUAGGUGAGGAUGGUCUGGCGGUGGUAGUGUACAUCUGUAAUUCCAGCACUCGGG
rnacentral:lncRNA from 1 species